rnacentral:rRNA from 1 species
GACGAACGCUGGCGGCGUGCCUAAUACAUGCAAGUCGAGCGGUAAGGCCCUUCGGGGUACACGAGCGGCGAACGGGUGAGUAACACGUGGGUGACCUGCCCUCCACUCUGGGAUAAGCCGGGGAAACUGGGUCUAAUACCGGAUAUGACCACGGGAUGCAUGUUCUGUGGUGGAAAGUUUUGUCGGUAGGGGAUGGGCCCGCGGUCUAUCAGCUUGUUGGUGGGGUGAUGGCCUACCAAGGCGACGACGGAUAGCCGGCCUGAGAGGGUGAUCGGCCACACUGGGACUGAGACACGGCCCAGACUCCUACGGGAGGCAGCAGUGGGGAAUCUUGCGCAAUGGGCGGAAGCCUGACGCAGCAACGCCGCGUGGGGGAUGACGGCCUUCGGGUUGUAAACCUCUUUCGCGAUCGACGAAGGCCCACUUUCUGUGGGUUGACGGUAGGUCGAGAAGAAGCACCGGCCAACUACGUGCCAGCCGCCGCAGUAAUAC